rnacentral:lncRNA from 1 species
AAUGGUGAAUUUUGCUCCCUGCUAUCAUUCAUUUUCUUAAUUUUGGUUGGAAAAUCACGAGCUUACAUUUCAUUCUAUAGUUUUGUUAUUGUUACGUGGUUAGAUUUGGCAUAAUCAUCUUGUCACGUUACAAGCCCUUGACCUGUAUUGCAUUAUGAGGGUCUUGUGAGUUUAUGAGACCAUCACAAUGAGGUAGACUUCUCAUUUAUGC